AGAGAGAGAGAGAGAGAGACCUAGCAUGAGGGGGAGGGGCAGGGAGAGAGGGAGACACAGAAUCUGAAGCAGGAUCCAGGCUCUGAGUGGUCAGCACAGAGCCCCGAUGUGGGGCUCGAACUCACGGACCAUGAGAUCAUGACCUGAGCCGAAGUCAGACACUCAACCAAUUGAGCCACCCAGGCGCCCCAUGAUUAUAUAAAGAAGUGAAAAUCAAAUCACGAUCCCUUUGGAUUUUAUCACAAAUUGUAAAUUUAUAUUGUACAAUUAGAAUGGGUCAUACAUUCAACAAUUAAUGUGACUUAAUACACAGUAGAAAAUUGUGACUACAGAUACACCACGUUCAGGAACUUUUGACAAAGCCAAGUUGUCCAAUGUUUAACCUACUCAAGGAAAUAAUUUAGCAAGUUGUUUUCUGCUAAGAUCCCCCUUAAUUUGGUAAAGAAAAUGCUUGGCUAGUUUUAGCAAUUCUGUCAGAAUGGGCACCAGCCCAAUUACAUGGAUCAGAGACCAACUUGCCAGCACUUAACAGAAUUUUAAAAAUGCUUGUGCUCUUGGAAUUUAAAUAGGCUGAUGACCAUGAGAGGAUCUGAGCCCAUGUCCUUUGCUUUGAAGGUAAUCCUGAAUAGGAAGAAUUACUACUAAGUUAAAGUCUAGGCUUCUUCAAGUAACUGAGCUCUGAGAGAUGUCAGUAGUGUUUUCAUAAGAGGGCUAAGAUAGUAACAGCAUUCCUGUACUUAUGUCUAUAAAACCAGUGACUAAGCAUCUUCAAAAGCACUUUUGCUAUUUGUCCAAAUAUGUUGUCAUGCCCAAGAAUUUCUCUUUGGAAAAUCUUCCAUAUAUAGAUAGAUAGAUAGAUAGAUAGAUAGAUAGAUAGAUAGAUAGAUAUGGAUAUAGAUAUAGAUAUCAUUGAUAUGUCAUUGUUCUCUGAUGAAAACACAAUGAAAAAAAAGCAAGUAACUCUUAAUCUUCACCCAACUAACAAAGAUAGUCACAUACUAGAAUUUAAUUUCAUAACAUUUAAUCUAACCUUUAAUUUCAGUUUGUCCCAAAUCUGUUUUUUAGGUAGAGUGAAAUUUGAGAUAAUUCACAACAACUGUAACAAAAUUCCAAAAACUGCUAUGAAAAAGCCAAACACUCAUCAUAAUCAAAUCCAUUCCAAAUUAACAAAAUGAUCCUACUGUUUUACUUAUAUAUAGAUAGGACCAUUGAGGAGAACGUUGCUAACACAAAAUAAUUAAAUAUUUCUCAAUUAAUAUCCUACUGAGAUACUUUUAAUUUCCUGAAAAUAGCAGCAGACUGGUUCAAAAACUGAAUUAAAAACAAAAGACUAAUAUCCUAA